rnacentral:rRNA from 1 species
AUUGAACGCUGGCGGCAUGCCUUACACAUGCAAGUCGAACGGCAGCACGGGAGCAAUCCUGGUGGCGAGUGGCGAACGGGUGAGUAAUAUAUCGGAACGUGCCCGGUCGUGGGGAUAACGUAGCGAAAGCUACGCUAAUACCGCAUACGAUCUACGGAUGAAAGCGGGGGAUCGCAAGACCUCGCGCGAUUGGAGCGGCCGAUAUCAGAUUAGGUAGUUGGUGAGGUAAAGGCUCACCAAGCCGACGAUCUGUAGCUGGUCUGAGAGGACGACCAGCCACACUGGGACUGAGACACGGCCCAGACUCCUACGGGAGGCAGCAGUGGGGAAUAUUGGACAAUGGGGGCAACCCUGAUCCAGCAAUGCCGCGUGAGUGAAGAA